CAGCUUAUGCCAAGAUGUUUGGGAAGAAAGUCAAAAUGGAAGGUUUAAAUGAAGGGCAGUCCAAUCCCCUUGCCCAUCAAGAAGGUGCUGCUGAGUUGAGCAAGGAUCUCCGGGAUAUAAAUCUUCUAAGUGGGAAGAACUUCAGGAAGUCAGCACCACAAUCCCCUAGGAAAUCCAAGAAGAGAGCCUGCUUUUGGAAAUACUGUGUUCAGAGCAAGUAGAUUUUAGCCCUUCAAUCAACAGACCAUUUUGGUGACUAAAGAAUUUGACCCGGACAAAGAAAGCUUCAAAAGCUGAAGCCUUUUCCACACAAACAAUUAAACAGCAAGUAA